ACCUACGAGAUGGGGAUAACUAUUAGAAAUAGUAGCUAAUACCGAAUAAAGUCAAUUAAUUUGUUAAUUGAUGAAAGGAAGCCUUUAAAGCUUCGCUUGUAGAUGAGUCUGCGUCUUAUUAGCUAGUUGGUAGGGUAAAUGCCUACCAAGGCGAUGAUAAGUAACCGGCCUGAGAGGGUGAACGGUCACACUGGAACUGAGAUACGGUCCAGACUCCUACGGGAGGCAGCAGCUAAGAAUCUUCCGCAAUGGGCGAAAGCCUGACGGAGCGACACUGCGUGAAUGAAGAAGGUCGAAAGAUUGUAAAAUUCUUUUAUAAA
rnacentral:rRNA from 1 species